rnacentral:miRNA from 1 species
UGUAGAUAUCUAUAUAUGUAUGUGUAUGUGUGUGUGUGUGUGUGUAUAUAUAUACACACACACACACACAUACAUACAUAUACAUACACACACA